GACGAACGCUGGCGGCGUGCUUAACACAUGCAAGUCGAACGGUAAGGCCCUUCGGGGUACACGAGUGGCGAACGGGUGAGUAACACGUGGGUGAUCUGCCCUGCACUUCGGGAUAAGCCUGGGAAACUGGGUCUAAUACCGGAUAGGACUCCUGCCUGCAUGGGUGGGGGUGGAAAGCUUUUGCGGUGUGGGAUGGGCCCGCGGCCGAUCAGCUUGUUGGUGGGGUGGUGGCCUACCAAGGCGACGACGGGUAGCCGGCCUGAGAGGGUGACCGGCCACACUGGGACUGAGAUACGGCCCAGACUCCUACGGGAGGCAGCAGUGGGGAAUAUUGCACAAUGGGCGCAAGCCUGAUGCAGCGACGCCGCGUGAGGGAUGACGGCCUUCGGGUUGUAAACCUCUUUCAGCACAGACGAAGCGCAAGUGACGGUAUGUGCAGAAGAAGGACCGGCCAACUACGUGCCAGCCGCCGCCGUAA
rnacentral:rRNA from 1 species